rnacentral:rRNA from 1 species
AGAGUUUGAUCCUGGCUCAGAUUGAACGCUGGCGGUAUGCUUUACACAUGCAAGUCGAACGGCAGCACGGGGCAACCUGGUGGCGAGUGGCGAACGGGUGAGUAACAUAUCGGAACAUGUCCGGAAGUGGGGGAUAACGUAGCGAAAGUUACGCUAAUACCGCAUAUGCCCUGAGGGGGAAAGGGGGGGAUCGCAAGACCUCUCGCUUUCGGAGUGGCCGAUAUCGGAUUAGCUAGUAGGUGAGGUAAAGGCUCACCUAGGCGACGAUCCGUAGCUGGUCUGAGAGGACGACCAGCCACACUGGAACUGAGACACGGUCCAGACUCCUACGGGAGGCAGCAGUGGGGAAUUUUGGACAAUGGGGGCAACCCUGAUCCAGCCAUACCGCGUGAGUGAAGAAGGCCUUCGGGUUGUAAAGCUCUUUCGGCAGGAAAGAAAUCGUGCAGGCUAAUAUCCUGUAUGGAUGACGGUACCUGAAGAAGAAGCACCGGCUAACUACGUGCCAGCAGCCGCGGUAAUACGUAGGGUGCGAGCGUUAAUCGGAAUUACUGGGCGUAAAGCGUGCGCAGGCGGCUUUGCAAGACAGACGUGAAAUCCCCGGGCUUAACCUGGGAACUGCGUUUGUGACUACAGGGCUAGAGUGUAGCAGAGGGGGGUGGAAUUCCACGUGUAGCAGUGAAAUGCGUAGAGAUGUGGAGGAAUACCGAUGGCGAAGCAGCCCCCUGGGCUAACACUGACGCUCAUGCACGAAAGCGUGGGGAGCAAACAGGAUUAGAUACCCUGGUAGUCCACGCCCUAAA